rnacentral:rRNA from 1 species
AUUGAACGCUGGCGGCAUGCCUUACACAUGCAAGUCGAACGGUAACAGGUCUUCGGAUGCUGACGAGUGGCGAACGGGUGAGUAAUACAUCGGAACGUGCCUAGUAGUGGGGGAUAACUACUCGAAAGAGUGGCUAAUACCGCAUGAGAUCUACGGAUGAAGGCAGGGGAUCGCAAGACCUUGUGCUACUAGAGCGGCCGAUGGCAGAUUAGGUAGUUGGUGGGAUAAAAGCUUACCAAGCCGACGAUCUGUAGCUGGUCUGAGAGGACGAUCAGCCACACUGGGACUGAGACACGGCCCAGACUCCUACGGGAGGAAGCAGUGGGGAAUUUUGGACAAUGGGCGCAAGCCUGAUCCAGCAAUGCCGCGUGCAGGAUGAAGGCCUUCGGGUUGUAAACUGCUUUUGUACGGAACGAAAAGCCCUGGGUUAAUACCCUGGGGUCAUGACGGUACCGUAAGAAUAAGCACCGGCUAACUACGUGCCAGCCGCCGCCGUAA